rnacentral:rRNA from 1 species
GCAAAUUACCCAAUCCUGACACAGGGAGGUAGUGACAAGAAAUAACAAUACGGGGCUCAAUGUCUUGUAAUUGGAAUGAUGGGAAUUUAAACCUCUUCCAGAGUAUCAAUUGGAGGGCAAGUCUGGUGCCAGCAGCCGCGGUAAUUCCAGCUCCAAUAGCGUAUAUUAAAAUUGUUGCAGUUAAAAAGCUCGUAGUUGGACUUCUGCUGCACUGCUCCUUCUCCUUGAUGAGUUGGUGCGCUGCGGCUUGUUUCGGUCGUGGUUUCCUCGUCCGGAUGUUUACUUUGAGAAAAUUAGAGUGCUCAAAGCAGGCUUUUGCCUUGAAUAGUUUAGCAUGGAAUAAUGAAGUAGGACUUUGGUUCUAUUUUGUUGGUUUAUGUACCAAAGUAAUGGUUAAUAGGAACAGUUGGGGGCAUUCGUAUUUAA